UGGGGCGUCGCCAAGCGGUAAGGCACCGGGUUUUGGUCCCGGCAUUCGCAGGUUCGAAUCCUGCCGCCCCAGCCA
rnacentral:tRNA from 2 species